CUCUGGUGAGAUCCUGGUAAAAGGUGAGAGUAGAAUCCUCAAAUGAUAGAGGUGUCUUGCCUUUCAGGGCACUCAUUAUUUGGAUUUUGUCCUGUACUUUGAUGCAGCAAAGUAUAACGUCUUGGACCAUGUUUGGCUUUGAGUGGAUAGUGCUGGAAACAUGGUAGAGUCUGCCAAUAGCUAGUUUCCUUGCUACAGCAUGGGUCAGUAUGGUGGCCAGAAGACAUCUGGUAUAGUGUGGCAGCUCUUCCUCCAUCAUAGUAGCGGGGAUGCCACAAAUUUUGAUGUGAGUGUGGCUUAGGAGGUCUUCCAUGGCCGUGAAUAUGUCUCUGGAGUUGUUGCACUAAGUCACUUUAGUAUGUAUGUCUGCAAUGUCCUCCUCCGAGGCUCUUACCCGAUCCAUGAUGGCAUGCACUUUAGUUUUAAGAAGAGUGGAAUUAGCCACUAGUAGCUUGUGGAUGUCCGUUAGCAAGACUUUCAGGUCACAUCUGGUGGUAGGAGCUGAAUCAUCUUAGGGUUCAGAAGCUGGGCGAUGUGGAGCAUGAGAGUUUAGCAAUGUCUUCCGCAGGAUCUGAGUUGUGCUGAG